ACCAAACUGUUAUGAAUGGGUUGCGCAAUAGUAGCUUGAAGCUGCGUAGAUGACUGUAGCAAAUGCAAACUGUAUGGAAAUGAAAGUGAGCCCGCAUUGAAAAUAUAUUUACAUUCUGAAUUUCUGCCAGCUGUC